rnacentral:rRNA from 1 species
UACGUAGGGUGCGAGCGUUGUCCGGAAUUACUGGGCGUAAAGAGCUCGUAGGUGGUUUGUCGCGUUGUCCGUGAAAACUCACAACUCAAUUGUGGGCGUGCGGGCGAUACGGGGCAGACUGGAGUACUGCAGGGGAGACUGGAAUUCCUGGUGUAGCGGUGGAAUGCGCAGAUAUCAGGAGGAACACCGGUGGCGAAGGCGGGUCUCUGGGCAGUAACUGACGCUGAGGAGCGAAAAGCGUGGGGAGCGAACAGG